UUAGCACUUUGACUUAAAAUACAUUUGUUUCUCUUUCUUCUCCAUACUCACCAUCACCACCCUUGCAAUCCUCCACCAUUAAAACUUGAUAACCUACGCGUUGCUUCCUGAUUUCUUGAUCACAUGUGCGACAUGGUCCACCGUCGGUCGUCGUUGAUUUUGUUCCUUGUUCCUUCAGUUUGCACGAGGGUUACACAAUUGAUUUGGAAGUGAGUUAUUAGUUCGUGAUAUAUGCGUUUGAGGUUGGUAAAGGUACUUGGCUACGAGUGAGGAGACGCUUAGAAUAACCACCUAAUCAAGAGACAAUUUCUCUUCCAUUUUAAGUUGGAUUUUGUUGUCUAUUUUAUGGGGAUUAAUUGGUUGUAAUAUU